AGAGUCCUGUGGACAGAGAAGCCUGGAGGGCCAUGGUCCACGGGGUUGCAAAGAGUCGGACACGACUGAGUGACUCACACAACAGUGGUAGAUACAGUGAAGAAAAUAAUAAAAAGUCACCAUCUCUGGAAAUCCAGCCCAGGUGUUUGCUCCAACCCCCUGGCUUUCUCUGAUGAAAGGACUUGCACCAGUUUAUUAUCAGGGACAGAUUUUUUUUUUUCUCCCUGGAACGGACUUCUAAGAGAAAUUGAUCACCUAGAUCCUCAGAUAAGGACUCCGAUUAGAACAAAGAACCAUGUCUUCAGUCCUGCUGCGGAGGCAGCCAUGUGUGAGCCAAGAAGAGCGGUCAGGCGGGGUCUCAGGCGCGGGCCGCGUCUGCAGCGCCCUCCUGUCUCAGGGGCCACAGGCUCCCAGCUCCCCGCCUGCCCGCCGCACAGGGGCAGCGGUGCCUUCCCCACAGGACUGUCGUGAUGGCCGCAAAAGGCACGUGCCCGUUGUGGUCGCCCGCUCGGUGACGAGACCUUCAGCCCACACUGGGUAAAGUAGCUGAGUGACCAGCUGCUGACCGACACCGGCCGGAGCAAAAAAGGACCCACGUGAUACUCACCGCCGACCUUUGAGGCAGACGCCGUGUUCACCGCCGCCAGCCCGCUCCGCAGAUGCAAAAGGGCCGUCCUGCCUCUGGUCAGGCGGCUGGCGGUGGGCACAGCUGAGCUCACCUGCAGGCAGCCAGGCCUUCCUUCUGAUGGCACCGCAGAGUAGACCCUGAAUGCGUUUCCUCCCAGUCAGCUGGGUCUAAUGCAGACCCUUACCAAAGCCCAGGGGCCGGAGCUGACUGUCCUUUCCUGGAGGCAUUUCUGCAAGCAGCUCAGCCAGGUGGUUCUGGGAAGGGUGCUUGCUGGUGAUCUGGCUGGAGCAUGAGAAGCUAGAGAGGGAAACAGGCUUGGCUGGGCCUUCACGAGCAGCCAUCUGAGCAGCCCCAUCCCGGAGCCUGUGGGGACCCCAUGUCUGUUGUGCAGCCGGACGUGGCUUUGUGGCUGUCAGCCUGGCUGAAUCACGGGCCACCGCCUACACCUUCCUCAUCCUGCAUCCUGGUCCUGAGACUAGCCCUGGCUCUCCCAACCCCCUCUCACAUAAAUCCCUCCCUGGGGAGGGGGGCUUCGGUUCCUGGGCCAGGCACUGUGUGAGCACCAGUUUCAUCCCGCCAGCAAGGGAGAGGCUGUGAGCCCCCAGUUUACUGAUGGGGCUCAGACGGAGGGGCGUGUGCACUCACACGCGUGACCAACCCGGGUGGCUGAGCCCCGGUUCCACCCUCCUCCCGCUCUGCUGGCCACCGUGACCUUCCUUCCACACACCUCCAGGAGCCUGCGCCUUUGUGUCAGUGGGAAGAGCGGCACUGGGGGCACUCAGGAGAUGGGGACCAGGGCCGGCCGGCCCCAGUCCUCCAGGCCGGAGCAGCUGAUUCAGCGCGAGUCCACAUCCAUGCCCAGGGACUGGCUUGGCCAUGCCCGGCUGGUCAGAGCUAAUCCUGGGCUGCUGCCAGAACGACUGAGAACAGAGGCCCUUUUGCUGUUGAGGUUACCAGGCAGACAGGACACUAGCCUGGAGCCGUGGGGGCACCUUAGCCACCCCUCCACCCACCUGCCAGGGAAGCCACGCCCGAGGGAAGCGGAGCCAAGGCACAGAGAGAGACUGAUUGCUGACCAUAUCCUCUAAGGCUCUAAACCGAACAAAGCCAAUCUGCCCUGCAGUCUGGGAAUGCGACCCCGUUCCCACAGCGUCUCUUCUGUCGUUGGGAGUGGUGUGGGCACAUUUGGCAGUCGCCACGGGCUGCUGAGAGGGGGCGAGCAGGCAAUGGGAGCAGCUGCUUGGCCCGCACGCGGCUCGAAGCCCCAGAUUGCUGACGAGGUGCUGCAGACAAGAGACAGGCAGCUGUGGUUUGGGCGGAGGGCCCCCGAGCAGCCAAGCUCCGCUGGUGAGGCAGGGCCGGCUCGGCUGGCCGCCCUGCUGCAGUCAGCUCGCCCGGCGCACACGGCCUCCGUGCUAGAGCCGCGCGCACCCGCAGGCGCUGGGGGAAGGCCUCACCGUCCUCAGCCCUGCGGCAGCUCGUAGCUCUCCUCCAAGACACGACCCACCCAGCGGCCAGAACAGCCUCUGCCUGCAUCAACUGCACCAGCGGAAGGCACGUUACCCUUAAGGGGCCAGAGACUAAGUAUGAGAAACACCCAAAGGCUUAGGGGGCCAGGUGGCCUCUGUCCCAACCACCGUGCAGCUCUGCUGAUGCAACCUGCGAGCGGCCACAGAUGCCAUGGAAACGAACGGGCGAGACUGGGUUCCAAUAAAACUUUAUUUUCAAAAAAGAGGCAACACCUGGACCUCAAGCUGUGGUCGGUGGCUCAUCGGUGCCUCUGUUCAAAACCCUGUAACGGCUCCACAUCCCCGCAGAGUCAAACCCAGCUCCUGACGUGGGUGGCAAGGAGCUGCAGGGCAGGUGGGUCCCCCAGCACCACACGAAGCACCUUCCGGCCUCAAGGCCUUUGCGCUGGCUGCUUCCUCGGCCUAGAGCACUCCCAGGCCCACCUCCCACUGUUAUGUGACUCACCAUUCCCGUUACUGAGGUCUCACAAAGACCAUUCUUUCAGCCCUCCGAAGUGACCUCAGCUCCCUCCCUACUCGCUUUUUAAAAUGUGUAUUUAUUGUUGGCCGUGCUGGGUCUCUGCUGCUGUGUGGGCUUUUCUCUAGCUUCAGCGCGUGGGCUGCUCACUGAGCAGGCUUCUCUUGUUGUGGAGCAGGGCUUCAGCAGCUGUGGCUUCUGGGUUCUGGAGCACAGGCUCAGUGGUUGUGCCGCAUGGGCUGAGCUGCUUGGUGGCACAUGGGAUCUUCCCAGACUGGGGAUCGAACCCGUGUCUCCUGCAUGCGUAGGCAGAUUCUUUACCACUGAGCCACCACGGAAGCCCCCUGCUAGCUCUUUAUCGGAACACCUCGUCUUAUUUUCUGCAUAGCAGGCACCACCAUCUGAAUGAAUCUCUUCUCUGUUUUAAAUUAAUUUUUAUUUAUCUGUUUAUUUAAUUUUUUGGCUGCACUUCAUGGCUUGCAGGAUGUUCCCUGACCAAAGACUGAGCUCAGGCUGUGGCUGAGCUCAGGCCCUGGGCCACUGGGCCGUCCGGGAACUCUGGGAUGAUCUCUUCCCUCUGUUCACCUUCCCGUAGUCCCUCUCCCGUAAGCUGCGGGAGGGGAGGGAAUCCAGCGGGUCUGCGCACAGGGUUGGAGGGCAGCGCUCUGUGGAGAACAAAGGAGUGAGUGGAUGGACAGGGAGCCCAGCAGCCUCCCAGGCCGCUUCUCCCACCCUCCCAUUCCUGGACCCCACAGCCCUCUGCUGACCGAAGUCUUUCACAGUGACUAUCUGAUCGCCCCCUGCCACAGCUUGAAGCCCCUAGCGACCCCCAUUGUUCAAAGUCCAAGCUCCUCUGCUGCCCGAGGCCCCGCCCAAGCGGACAGCUGCCUGCCUCUCCCUGCCCGACUCUCGUUCUGAAGACAGGCUGCCCUGGGGGUCCACGGACGUGAUCCCAAAGGACACCAUGUAUCUGUGGAGGUGUUUUUGCAUGAUCAGAAAACAGGUUAUGCUCCAGGAAUUCACUUUGAACAAAAGGACAAGGCUAUGAACACCUGAUUCAUGAGAUGCCGGGAACCCAUCCAGUUUCCUCCAGUCACCCGGCCCAGAUCAGGCUCUCGCAGUGACGCACUCCAGGCAGAAGGAGAGAAUGUGAUCUCUUCAGACUGACGCCAAAGCCCGGUGGGGUUGGCAGUGGAGGCGGGUGGGGUGUGGAACGCACUGCUCUCAGCACUUGCUGUGGCCUGGCGGUGGAAUGGGGACACAGAGUGGCAGCCUGGCGCUGUGCGCGCCUGUGUAGCUGUGUAGAUGGCACAGUGUAGAUGGCACAGUGUAGCCACACUGCAUAGACCUUACUGUGUAGACCGUAACAUGUAGACCUCACUGU